rnacentral:rRNA from 1 species
AGUCGAACGCUUUGUCUUUAACUGAUCUGACGAGCUUGCUCUGAUUUGAUUUUAUCUGACAAAGAGUGGCGAACGGGUGAGUAACACGUGGGUAACCUACCUCUUAGCAGGGGAUAACAUUUGGAAACAAGUGCUAAUACCGUAUAAUACCAACAACCGCAUGGUUGUUGGUUGAAAGAUGGUUCUGCUAUCACUAAGAGAUGGACCCGCGGUGCAUUAGCUAGUUGGUAAGGUAACGGCUUACCAAGGCAAUGAUGCAUAGCCGAGUUGAGAGACUGAUCGGCCACAAUGGGACUGAGACACGGCCCAUACUCCUACGGGAGGCAGCAGUAGGGAAUCUUCCACAAUGGGCGCAAGCCUGAUGGAGCAACGCCGCGUGUGUGAUGAAGGGUUUCGGCUCGUAAAACACUGUUAUAAGAGAAGAACGGCACUGAGAGUAACUGUUCAGUGUGUGACGGUAUCUUACCAGAAAGGAACGGCUAAAUACGUGCCAGCAGCCGCGGUAAUACGUAUGUUCCAAGCGUUAUCCGGAUUUAUUGGGCGUAAAGCGAGCGCAGACGGUUAUUUAAGUCUGAAGUGAAAGCCCUCAGCUCAACUGAGGAAUGGCUUUGGAAACUGGAUGACUUGAGUGCAGUAGAGGAAAGU